GCCUACGGGGCGCAGCAGUAGGGAAUCUUCCACAAUGGACGAAAGUCUGAUGGAGCAACGCCGCGUGAGUGAAGAAGGGUUUCGGAUCGUAAACCUCUGUCAGGAGGAAAGAAGUGGUUAUAUGCGAAUAGUGUAUGACUUUGACGGUACCUCCAAAGGAAGCACCGGCUAACUCCGUGCCAGCAGCCGCGGUAAUACGGAGGGUGCGAGCGUUAAUCGGAAUCACUGGGCGUAAAGCGCGCGUAGGCGGCUUUUCAAGUCAGGGGGGAAAUCCCACGGCCCAACCGUGGAACUGCCUUUGAAAC
rnacentral:rRNA from 1 species